rnacentral:rRNA from 1 species
AGCGAACGCUGGCGGCAGGCUUAACACAUGCAAGUCGAGCGGACCUUUCGGGGUCAGCGGCGGACGGGUGAGUAACGCGUGGGAACGUGCCUUCCGGUUCGGAAUAACCCUGGGAAACUAGGGCUAAUACCGGAUACGCCCUUAGGGGGAAAGGUUUACUGCCGUAAGAUCGGCCCGCGUCUGAUUAGCUAGUUGGUGGGGUAACGGCCUACCAAGGCGACGAUCAGUAGCUGGUCUGAGAGGAUGAUCAGCCACACUGGGACUGAGACACGGCCCAGACUCCUACGGGAGGCAGCAGUGGGGAAUAUUGGACAAUGGGCGAAAGCCUGAUCCAGCCAUGCCGCGUGAGUGAUGAAGGCCUUAGGGUUGUAAAGCUCUUUUAUCCGGGACGAUAAUGACGGUACCGGAGGAAUAAGCCCCGGCUAACUUCGUG